ensembl:miRNA
GCCUGCCUUCACUUCCUGGCCAUCCAGGCAUCUGUGUCUGUGUCUGGGAAGUUGAGGAGGGC